AGCGGUACGCGAGCUGGGUUCAGACCGGCGUGAGCCAGGUCGGUCCCUAUCUGCUGUGGGCGUUGCAAACUUGAGAGGAGUCAACUUUAGUACGAGAGGAUUAGGUUGGACUGACCCCUGGUGAUCCUGUUGUUCCGCUAGGAGCAUCGCAGGGUAGCUACGUCGGGCAGGGAUAACAGCUGAAAGCAUCUAAGCAGGAAGCCCCCCUCGAGAUCAGGUUUGCUAGUACUUGUACGUGAGACCCCUGGGAGACUACCAGGUUGAUAGGCCGCAGGUGUAAGG
rnacentral:rRNA from 14 species